rnacentral:rRNA from 1 species
UACGUAGGGGGCUAGCGUUGUCCGGAAUCAUUGGGCGUAAAGGGUGCGUAGGUGGCAUGGUAAGUUUGAUGUGAAAGCUCAGGGCUUAACCCUGAAAUGGCAUUGAAUACUACUGUGCUGGAGGUUUGGAGGGGGGACUGGAAUUCUUGGUGUAGCAGUGAAAUGCGUAGAUAUCAAGAGGAACACCAGUGGCGAAGGCGAGUCCCUGGACAACACCUGACACUGAGGCACGAAAGCUAGGGGAGCAAACAGG